rnacentral:rRNA from 1 species
GCUACUCUGGUGACGAGCGGCGGACGGGUGAGUAAUGCUUGGGAACAUGCCUUGAGGUGGGGGACAACAGUUGGAAACGACUGCUAAUACCGCAUAAUGUCUACGGACCAAAGGGGGCUUCGGCUCUCGCCUUUAGAUUGGCCCAAGUGGGAUUAGCUAGUUGGUGAGGUAAUGGCUCACCAAGGCGACGAUCCCUAGCUGGUUUGAGAGGAUGAUCAGCCACACUGGGACUGAGACACGGCCCAGACUCCUACGGGAGGCAGCAGUGGGGAAUAUUGCACAAUGGGCGCAAGCCUGAUGCAGCCAUGCCGCGUGUGUGAAGAAGGCCUUCGGGUUGUAAAGCACUUUCAGUCAGGAGGAAAGGUUAGUAGUUAAUACCUGCUAUCUGUGACGUUACUGACAGAAGAAGCACCGGCUAACUCCGUGCCAGCAGCCGCGGUAAUACGGAGGGUGCGAGCGUUAAUCGGAAUUACUGGGCGUAAAGCGUACGCAGGCGGUUUGUUAAGCGAGAUGUGAAAGCCCCGGUCUCAACCUGGGAACUGCAUUUCGAACUGGCAAACUAGAGUGUGAUAGAGGGUGGUAGAAUUUCAGGUGUAGCGGUGAUAUGCGUAGAGAUCUGAAGGAAUACCGAUGGCGAAGGCAGCCACCUGUGUCAACACUGACGCUCAUG